GCAAUGACGCAGCUUAUGAGGUUCUAACCGAGGCGCGUCUAUUGCUGGUUGAAAACUAUUUCCAAACCCCCUCCUGGGCCUAAGCUUGUCUUGGGCCUUCGAGAAUUUCUGGAAGGGCUCCCUUCGGGGCGCUAGGCCCAGCUCAACCGUCCGACUAACGAUUUCUAAAAUAGGGGUAUUAAGGGUUUCUUAGAUUGGUGUUGUUGAUGUUAUGUGAUUCAUGAAAACACGCGUAGAUGAGACCAGAACUCAACGAGGUGAAAUUUAAAACCCACAUCUAGCCGAAGUCUUGUUUUCAGGAAUCCACUGCUACGUGUGAUUAAAUGAAUGGGUCUAAGGCAUGAAACGGUGCUAUAGAGUUUUCCAAACAUUUUUUGAUACUGACACAAAAAGAUUUAUUCAGCAUAGAGUACAUAUAUCAACAAUCCAAAGAGGUGUUGUUUCUUAUCCGAGUUUCAAGAGGCUACAAA